UCCAGCCCUCUGCAAUACUUCAACCGACUCAUUAUUGAGCGAAGACAUCCCAGCAAGAUACUGUUUCAACACUGCCCCAUAACAAUGGUGUAAUGUUACAGCCGCAACACUAGCUGCAAUUGAUUGCCAUUUCUUCAGUAUGGGACUGAAACUUUCCCUCUCUCUCAAUGCCAAAUCCUCUGUUUCUUUAGCUAAUUGGAGGAGAGCCUCGCUAGCCUCAUCUUUCACUUCCACACUCGUACUCUUAUAGCUUCCAGUUUCUAUUACCUAUAAUUCACAAAUACAACUAUAGAAGAUCAGAAACAUUAUAUGUAUAUUACUAGAGAUUAGAGAAGACAAAAUGUUGAAUCCUAUAAUAACCCACCUUUGCAAAUGCGUUCUUUAUAGAAGAUCGAAUAUAGUAAUCGACACGAUCCCCAGAUGAAUCGACUAUCUUCCUGUCAUCUUUCCCUGUCCCUUCCAUGAGAGUAACAUCCUCACCUAAAAUCUUUGAUGCUGAUAAAGCUAAAGGCAAAAGAUUCUCAAUCAAGAAAACAUUUCCUCUCUGGAAAUAGUCAUGGUAGUGAAGCAAUCUCCUCUCUGCCCAACCUUGCAUUGAUGCCAACAUAGAAGACAAAAGCUUAACAUAAUUUGCCUCUCGGUCUGGCUUCUUUGCAUCAUUAGCUACCUCUGUAGACAACAUAGCAUGUGCAGCGUAGAGAAGAUCAGGCUCAGUUUGAGAUGUCAAUACAUAUUGUUGGAAAAGUACCCAAGUAAAGCAGAGAUUGUGUAUUGAUCUAUUGAUUCCUAGUGUAGACCAUGUCUUUUUCAUCAGCUCCAAAAGCUCAUCAACCUCAUCAAGAACUAACGUCUCAUCCCUAAAAUCAAAAACUGCUUGAAGAAGGCAUGUGUAAAUGUGAAGGUUGAGAGGGAAGCCAUCAGCCCAAUGGCAGACAUCAGUAGGUGCACCAGUGAGGCUUCGCCAAGAUAAAGUAACAACAUUGUUGCAUAAGGUUUUCAUGGUGUCAGAAUUUUUGCUUGUGUCAAUGGGUUUUGUGUCACUGGCAAGGAUAAUUUCACGGAGAUGCAUAGCACACGAGUUAGAUUUUUCUAGUGGGAUUGCUGGGUGGACGAGAAGACCAGCCUCCAAGAUUUUGAGCUGACGCCUUUGCCAAAGAUGAUACUCGUGCAUGUCAUUGAAUUCUGAUGGUUUAAGGUGGCGGAGCAGCUCCAAUGGCAGGAUUAUUGUCUCUGCUCUCCUUCCCAUCUGCCAAAUAUAGUCAUCAAUAUUGCCAAAUAGAUGAAGGGAAAUUAAAAUUGCAAAAGAUAACAUAUCCCAAUCUUGAAAAUCCAUUGCAAAAUGUUUAGUCAUUAACCAAUCCAAAAGAUGGGUCUUGCUUCUUCUAAUUUUUAAAGAUGUUAUUAAUUCCAUGCCUUCUAUAUAUAAUUUUAAUCCAAAUAAAAUCAAAUUAAAAUUACUUUUUUUCCCUAGAAAAAAUUUAAAUCAAAUCAACCACAAUAAAAUAUACAAAUAAGUAAAAAAAAAAUCCUGUUAAAUAAUAAAAAAUUAUAAAGAUUCAAGAAUUAUGAAAAAUCUUAAAAUUAUAAAGAUUCAAGAAUUAUGAAAAAUCUUAUUUUGAAAACUUUAAAAAAGAAAAUAAAUUUCAAUUGAAGAUUAAGAUAAAAAAUAUCAUUUUUGAAUAUUUUAAUCUCACUUCAAAAUUGAAAAUCAAAACCAAUAAAUGCAACAAAUGUUCAACAAUUUCAAUAACAAAAAAUGUUUUUAAAAACAUUUUCUUUGGAAAUAAUAUUUUUUAAAAUGAAUUCUUAAAAAAAAAUAUAACAACUUACUUAUUACUUUUGUAAAAUUUCAAGUAAUAAUUUACCUAAAGGCAAUAAUGCAAUCACACACUUUUGGUGCAUGCAAUAUAAUUUGGGAUAAAUUGACAUAUUUUGUUAAUUUUAAAAUUUAAUUGACAUAAUUUUUACCUGUUGAAUUUAAUUGCACUUUGUUGUGAAGAUGAUAGAGCAAAUUGACUUUUUAUUUAAUUUAAUAGUAAAAAGAAUAAAAUAAAAAUGAAGUAAACUAAAAAAUCCUUAGUAACUAAAAUUUUUAUAAAAAAAG
rnacentral:misc_RNA from 1 species